CACAAGUGGACAGGACGUUUGUCUUCCUGGUUACUCAGAAUUCCAACCUUUCUAUCCUGGCGAGUAGAUGCAUCUCCAUGAAAUGGGGAGGAACAUUGUAGUGUCCUGAAGAAGGCACCAUUUGCCCCACCUCCUUUUGCCUGCAGCUGCCUCAGGCUAAAAUUCCUAGCAUGCCAAAAUGAAGGGGUGCAGGUUCAAAGAAGUGAAGUGGAUCUAUACAUUGAGGUGGACUGAAGGAGAGAACUUUGAAGAAGAGAAAGAUCUACCCCUAAAUCAAUCCAUUCUCUUCUGCUGUGUUGCUGUGGUUUCCAUUGAGGAUCACCAGAGAGAGACUCACCGCUACUUUUCUUCCAUCCACAGUCUGAAUUCCUGAUUGACAUGGGAUGAAAUAAUUGUAUUUCCACUCCAAUUGUCUCUGUUCCUGCCACCUGAAGAGAAACCAUGACUCUUGAGGUGAAUUGCAUGUCCUAGAAGAAGAACAAAGAACUGGAGUCAGACAGAUGGAAUUGCAAGAUUUCCACCUGGAGAAAUGACUGACUUCAUCUUUCUGACUGUCCUCAGUUUAUUAUGGAAAGACCAGCUG